rnacentral:rRNA from 1 species
CGAAAGCCUGACGGAGCAAUACCGCGUGAGGGAGGAAGGCUUUUGGGUUGUAAACCUCUUUUCUCAAGGAAGAAAAAAAUGACGGUACUUGAGGAAUCAGCAUCGGCUAACUCCGUGCCAGCAGCCGCGGUAAUACGGAGGAUGCAAGCGUUAUCCGGAAUUAUUGGGCGUAAAGCGUCCGCAGGUGGCAGUUCAAGUCUGCUGUUAAAGACAGAAGCUCAACUUCUGGUCAGCGGUGGAAACUGGACAGCUAGAGUACGGUAGGGGUUGAGGGAAUUCCCAGUGUAGCGGUGAAAUGCGUAGAGAUUGGGAAGAACACCAGUGGCGAAGGCGCUCUACUGGGCUAAAACUGACACUGAGAGACGAAAGCUAGGGUAGCG